AUCGACUAAAUUGCGUGUGGGCUCGCUUGCCGCGCAGAAAACCUCUCUCUAAACUUGAGAUACCUUUGUAGCAUAGAUUCUUCAGUUGCACCUAUUGUGAGAAAUCCUCAGUCUGAAAUGACAACUCAAAAACCAGUGAAGAUCGGCAAGGCAUUUUGCAGAGGAAAAACCUGCAGUUUAAAGAGGCCACAUGGCCAGCUUUAGUCAUCAAGCCUGCAGACAAGAGAGGAAACACCCCGUGCUCUUCCUCAUCUUUGCCCCGGAUGGUUCUGAGACAUUCUGGGCGUGCCGUGCCAGAGUGAGAGUGACGCAGCAGCAGCAACCAGCUACUCAAGGCAAUUCCUGGUAAAGCCCGAGGUGUUGCCCCAGAAUGUCUGUCGGAAGAUGCCAUCUUAGGAAACAAUGACACAGCAGCGAAGCCUUGCUACAAUGGCUUCAGAGAUCCUGCCGUACAGAAUACUACAGCACACUGAGUGUGCAAGGGGCAGCAGGAGCAGCAGCUGUAAGAGGAUAGCUCAUCCACCAAGGGAGUCACUUCAUAAGACAGCAGGGCUGUCAGUGAAUCAGAAAUAGCUCUGUGGUCCAAGUCACAGCCUAACUGUAAGCCAUAUAAUAAACUUAUGGAUGCUGUGGAAA